UACGGAGGGUGCAAGCGUUAUCCGGAUUCACUGGGUUUAAAGGGUGCGUAGGUGGUCUGUUAAGUCAGCGGUGAAAGCCUGGAGCUCAACUCCAGAACUGCCUUUGAUACUGGCGAUCUCGAGUCCGGGAGAGGUGAGUGGAACUGCGAGUGUAGAGGUGAAAUUCGUAGAUAUUCGCAAGAACACCAGUGGCGAAGGCGGCUCACUGGCCCGGUACUGACGCUGAGGUGCGAAAGCGUGGGGAGCAAACAGG
rnacentral:rRNA from 1 species